AACUUCCCUGUUUAUCAGUAGCUUCUUCCUCUAGAUAUAUCUUUUCUCCAAGAUACUACUUGCAUAAACAAGAAUUUGUAUCAGUGCUUCAGUCAACGGUAUAGUAAUCUCCAAUUGAUUGAAGAUUUCUCUAAAAUACUCACAUUUUCAUUCUACUUUCUUACGCCCUUUUGGGUAAGGAAGACUUCUCUCAUCCUUUUCAAUUUUUUUCUCUUUUUCAAUUUUUUCUCCCCCCUUUUCUCUUCUUCUUUUUCCAUCUUACCCUCACCUAUUUUCUCUUUUUUUUUCUUCUCUCCUCUCUAACUCAACACUUUUUUUUCCCUCUUCCAUUCUCUCCUCAACAACACUCACUAUGGCCUUACAAUCUUCCUUAGGGUUAACCUUGGUAUUAGCCCUAAAUUGAUUAUUUGCUUUGUCCUUCAACCUCUUAGCUAUUUGACCGAUCUGCAUCUCCAGGUUUCUAAAAGUAGCUUCAUUGCUCUUAAUAGUGGAAUCAUGCGCC
rnacentral:lncRNA from 1 species